rnacentral:rRNA from 1 species
ACGGGCGGUGUGUGCAAUUGCAGUUGAUACUGCGUCGCUUGAGUGCACACAGGGAUGUUGGAAUUCAUGGUGUAGCGGUGAAAUGCUUAGAUAUCAUGAAGAACUCCGAUCGCGAAGGCAUAUGUCCGGAGUGCAACUGACGCUGAGGCUCGAAAGUGUGGGUAUCAAACAGGAUUAGAUACCCUGGUAGUCCACACAGUAAACGAUGAAUACUCGCGGUUGGUUCGUUAGAUUCAGCCGCCAAGCGAAAGCGUUAAGUAUUCCACCUGGGGAGUACGCCGGCAACGGUGAAACUCAAAGGAAUUGACGGGGGCCCGCACAAGCGGAGGAACAUGUGGUUUAAUUCGAUGAUACGCGAGGAACCUUACCCGGGCUUGAACUGCCAGUGACUCAUGCAGAGACGCAUGUUUCUUCGGACACUGGCGGAGGUGCUGCAUGGUUGUCGUCAGCUCGUGCCGUGAGGUGUCGGCUUAAGUGCCAUAACGAGCGCAACCCUUCUCCCUGUUUGCCAUCGGGUCAUGCCGGGCACUCCAGGGACACUGCCAUCGUAAGAUGUGAGGAAGGUGGGGAUGACGUCAAAUCAGCACGGCCCUUACGUCCGGGGCUACACACGUGUUACAAUGGGCGGUACAGAAAGCAGCUACCCCGCGAGGGGAUGCCAAUCUCAAAAACCGUUCUCAGUUCGGACUGGAGUCUGCAACCCGACUCCACGAAGCUGGAUUCGCUAGUAAUCGCGCAUCAGCCAUGGCGCGGUGAAUACGUUCCCGGGCCUUGCACACACCGCCCGU